rnacentral:lncRNA from 1 species
AGGCCAGAUGGAUCGACCUCCACGAGUGGCCGUCUUCCUCGACGACGGCUUCGCCCACGCGGGAGGGCGGCUGGUAAAAGCGGGCGGGCACGAGGUCGGCGUGCUUUGCGAGGAUGGCCUCGCGCUCCGCCUCUGCGAGCAGGCCCAAGACACGCCCCAGGAGGCGCGUCUUGAUGACGGCAUCGAUACCGGACGCGAGCAUGUGCCACAUAAACGAGGCCAACUGGGCGCGCGCACCGCCGGCUUCCCGUCCGUCGCGCCUCUCUGCGGCGACGGCCUCGAUGAGCGCGUGCGCAAUGUUGUCCACGAGGCACCGGAUGUAAUGUCGCGGCGCCUCGACAAACACCGCGGCGCAGACGACGUCGACCGGGUCGGCACACUCGACCACGCGGUCCAGGCGGUCUUGGUCAUAGAGGCAUUCGACGACAAAGGCCAGCGCCGCGGGGUCAAAGGGCAUCUCUAGCAGGUACGCCGCACGGCAGAUGCGGGCGCCGGCGGCGCCGCGCAGAUCCACGCGGUCCGGCUCGACGUGACGGAACAGGGCGGCAAAGUAGGCGGCCCUCGCGAGGAUGGCCCGGUGGGCCAGUAUGGCCGUGGGUGCGACGCUCUCGUCGGCGCCGCACGGGCGCACCUCCAAGAGGCAGUCGCAAUGUUGGUGGCGCAUGCCGGCGAGGAUGCGCUUUGCCGAUUGUGCCAUUCGUGGUUUGCCUGUGCCCUAGGCGAGGAACCGUAUUCUUUUUUUUCUCUCUUUUUUUUCACCAACAAUAAAAUCCCCCGUCUUGGAUGCCCGC